rnacentral:misc_RNA from 2 species
GAGUUCGCGGGAGAGUAAGUUAUUGCCAGGGUUUUUAUUUUGUAAUUUAAACCUUAAAUUUAUUUUUUAUAUUUUUUUAAUGUUCAUGUUUUUGAAUGUUUUAUUCAAAUAAUGUAAAAAAUAAAAUAGAUAUUGACAUGGAUUGAACAAAAGAUAUAUAUUAUUUUAUGUUGCAUAAACAAAUUGGCAAAAUAGAGAUGGAAGAUAAAAAUAUGGUCAAAGUAAUAAGAGUCUAUGGUGAAUGCC